UUUCAUUUUGGGUUGGCGGGAAAUUUGCCCCCUUCCCUUCCAGUUAAAACAACAUUUUGCCCUAGCCCCAUUUGAGACUCUGCAGUGCUUCGUCACUCCAACAAUGUCAUCCCCUGCUCUACGGCCGCAUAAGAAUUUCUUCCGUGUUUCUUCUCUCUCCGUCCGACGGAUGAUCCCGAUCUAGCUGCCUCUCAGGUGUGCUUCACCUCUUUAUUUCUCUCUUUUCCUUUUCCUCCUCUAUUUCUCCGUCGCUUUCAAUCACACAGCGACUUUCACUCUCCUCGUUUUCAUCGAACUUUUCUAUUUCCAUCUCCUUCAUAUCCCCCAACACAUUCUUUUUUCUUCCUCCCUCUUUACUCACACACUUUCUUUCUGAUUUGGUCCCAAAACUUCGUUAUCCUUCACUUGUGCAGGCUUUCCUUUAUUGUUUUCUCGAUAUGGAUGCCACAAUGCACAUGUGCAAAUCUGCUACUUCGCCACCUAAAUUGAAAUGGGUUCAUUUAAAAGAUUCUUUUUUUCAUCCUGCAAAAGAAAAAUCAACUCCCCGAACAGUUGCGCACCACCCAAAUAGUUGUUCGCGUUAUUAGAACUGCACAUGAGAUGGGGAUACCUUAUGUUGCUGUUCACUCCACCAUAGAUAAGGAUGCCCUUCAUGUGAAACUGGCUGAUGAAGCGGUUUGCAUUGGUGAAGCACCAAGCAAUCAAUCAACCAACCAAAAGUCUCCAUGAGAUUGCAAAGGUUUAACUGGUUCACAUAUUUUCAAUGAAGGAAGGAGAUGCUGCUGAAGAAACAACACAGACAAGCUCUCCUUCUUGAUAAUUUCCUAAGUGUGGAUGGACUUGGUCCAGGGCGCUUCCUUUGUGAUAGAAAACUUGUCACCUAUACAUUCGAAAUCUCGUCUGAGUUGCAAGAAGAAAUUUGCCAUAGAAAAUGGGAAAAGUUUCGUCAAUAUACUGCAUCAGGGGACAGCUUUACUUGGUUUCCUAAAAGACAAAUUAAACAGAAUUAUUUCAUUGACUCAGAUAUGCAUGGCAGUUUGUCGCAGGUGGAUAAACAAUUCUCAAGUGUAGAUAAGUACUUUAAACAGAGCAUUUGACAACCAUAACCGAAACAUGUGACAGAAGCAACUCAUUGAAACAAAGCAUUAAUAAACUUUUGCCAACAACAAUAUUAUUCCUAAGCUACUAAAGCACAAAGUCAAAUUGCAUCCUCUCUACAUGUAUAUAUUUUUGUUAGGAGUUUGGAAAAGUGAACAAUUUCAUAGAAAUGCCUUUGUAUUUUAGCUUAGGCAAUUAGCUUAGGCAAUUUCCAAAGCUUAAAAUUUGUCAAUCCCCCAUCAACAGCUCCUGAUACUUGCUCGACCGUGAAUAUUUCCUUAAAAAAGGCACGCUGCACCGUCAGAAUUUGUAGAGCCGGUAAUUUCAGAAGAGAAGCAACGGGGGAUACAGUUGAUUUAAUGCGCAUGCAAAUCAUAUUAACUUCUGUUAGUCUGGGAAACCACUCUGCAUGAGUGGAUAAUAGAUCACACAAAUACUCCUCGGCGGUCACUCCCAAGCACGCCAACUUGGGGAAUGAACCCUGAAAUAAUGGUAUUAUAUAUGUUAACAGCUACAACAAUAAUCAAUGUUAUAUAUAGCAUAGAUGAUAAAUAUUAGCUGAACAAACUAUACAUAUGGCUGUGACUGCAUAUAGAUAUAAAGACUGCUUUUUAUCGCAUGGAUUAUAUAUAAUCCGCAGUCUUUUGGA